CACGUAGGGUGCGAGCGUUGUCCGGAAUUAUUGGGCGUAAAGAGCUCGUAGGCGGUGUGUCGCGUCGGCCGUGAAAACUCACAGCUUAACUGUGGGCGUGCGGGCGAUACGGGCAGACUGGAGUACUGCAGGGGAGACUGGAAUUCCCGGUGUAGCAGUGAAAUGCGUAGAUAUCGGGAGGAAUACCGAUGGCGAAGGCAGGUCUCUGGGCUGACACUGACGCUCAUGCACGAAAGCGUGGGGAGCAAACAGG
rnacentral:rRNA from 1 species